rnacentral:rRNA from 1 species
UGGGGAAUUUUGCACAAUGGGGGAAACCCUGAUGCAGCGACGCCGCGUGAUUUAGAAGGCCUUCGGGUUGUAAAAAUCUUUUUUACGGGAUGAAAAUGACAGUACCGUAAGAAUAAGGUCCGGCUAAAUACGUGCCAGCAGCCGCAGUAAUAAGUAUGGACCGGGCGUUGUCCGGAAUCAUUGGGCGUAAAGGGUACGUAGGCGGCCUAGUAAGUUAGAAGUGAAAUAAUAUAGCUCAACUAUAUAAAGCUUUUAAAACUGCUAGGCUUGAGUGAUGGAGGGGAAAGUGGAAUUCCUAGUGUAGCGGUGAAAUGCGCAGAUAUUAGGAAGAAUACCGGUGGCGAAGGCGGCUUUCUGGUCAUCAUCUGACGCUGAGGUACGAAAGCGUGGGUAGCGAACAGG